rnacentral:rRNA from 1 species
CCUACGGGAGACAGCAGUGGGGAAUAUUGGACAAUGGGGGGAACCCUGAUCCAGCCAUGCCGCGUGUGUGAAGAAGGCCCUCGGGUUGUAAAGCACUUUCAGUGAGGAAGAACGCCUGGUGGUUAAUACCCAUCAGGAAAGACAUCACUCACAGAAGAAGCACCGGCUAACUCCGUGCCAGCAGCCGCGGUAAUACGGAGGGUGCGAGCGUUAAUCGGAAUUACUGGGCGUAAAGCGCGCGUAGGUGGCUUGAUAAGCCGGUUGUGAAAGCCCCGGGCUCAACCUGGGAACGGCAUCCGGAACUGUCAAGCUAGAGUGCAGGAGAGGAAGGUAGAAUUCCCGGUGUAGCGGUGAAAUGCGUAGAGAUCGGGAGGAAUACCAGUGGCGAAGGCGGCCUUCUGGACUGACACUGACACUGAGGUGCGAAAGCGUGGGUAGCAAACAGGAUUAGAUACCCGUGUAGUC